GUGAGGAAUAUUGCGCAAUGGAGGCAACUCUGACGCAGCCAUGCCGCGUGCAGGAAGAAGGCGCUACGCGUUGUAAACUGCUUUUAACCGGGAAGAAACCCCAGGACGUGUCCUGGGUUGACGGUACCGGAGGAAUAAGCACCGGCUAACUUCGUGCCAGCAGCCGCGGUAAUACGAAGGGUGCAAGCGUUAUCCGGAUUCAUUGGGUUUAAAGGGUGCGUAGGCGGAGCGUUAAGUCAGUGGUGAAAUCCUGCAGCUUAACUGUAGACUUGCCAUUGAUACUGGCGCUCUUGAGUGCACUUGAAGUGGGCGGAAUGUGCCGUGUAGCGGUGAAAUGCUUAGAUAUGGCACAGAACACCAAUUGCGAAGGCAGCUCACUAAGGCGAUACUGACGCUGAGGCACGAAAGCGUGGGGAACGAACAGGAUUAGAAACCCGGGUAGUCC
rnacentral:rRNA from 1 species